GUGGGGAAUAUUGGACAAUGGGCGCAAGCCUGAUCCAGCCAUGCCGCGUGUGUGAAGAAGGCCUUUUGGUUGUAAAGCACUUUAAGCGAGGAGGAGGCUCCUUUAGUUAAUACCUAAAGAGAGUGGACGUUACUCGCAGAAUAAGCACCGGCUAACUCUGUGCCAGCAGCCGCGGUAAUACAGAGGGUGCGAGCGUUAAUCGGAUUUACUGGGCGUAAAGCGUGCGUAGGCGGCUUUUUAAGUCGGAUGUGAAAUCCCUGAGCUUAACUUAGGAAUUGCAUUCGAUACUGGAAAGAUAGAGUAUGGGAGAGGAUGGUAGAAUUCCAGGCGUAGCGGUGAAAUGCGUAGAGAUCUGGAGGAAUACCGAUGGCGAAGGCAGCCAUCUGGCCUAAUACUGACGCUGAGGUACGAAAGCAUGGGGAGCAAACAGGAUUAGAUACCCGAGUAGUCC
rnacentral:rRNA from 1 species